UUCGCGCCCGCCGGGGACCCAAACCUUCUGAAUUUUUUAAUAAGUAUCUUCUGAGUGGUUAAAAAAAAUGAAUCAAAACUUUCAACAACGGAUCUCUUGGUUCUGGCAUCGAUGAAGAACGCAGCGAAAUGCGAUAAGUAAUGUGAAUUGCAGAAUUCAGUGAAUCAUCGAAUCUUUGAACGCACAUUGCGCCCGUCAGUAUUCUGGCGGGCAUGCCUGUUCGAGCGUCAUUACGCCCCUCAAGUCCCCUGUGGACUUGGUGUUGGGGAUCGGCGAGGCUGGUUUUCCAGCACAGCCGUCCCUCAAAUCAAUUGGCGGUCUCGCCGUGGCCCUCCUCUGCGCAGUAGUAAAACACUCGCAACAGGAGCCCGGCGCGGUCCACUGCCGUAAAACCCCCCAACUUUUUAUAGUUGACCUCGAAUCAGGUAGGACUACCCGCUGAACUUAAGCAUAU
rnacentral:rRNA from 1 species